AUGAACGCUGGCGGCGUGCCUAAUACCUGCAAGUCGAGCGAACAGACGAGGAGCUUGCUCCUCUGACGUUAGCGGCGGACGGGUGAGUAACACGUGGAUAACCUACCUAUAAGACUGGGAUAACUUCGGGAAACCGGAGUUAAUACCGGAUAAUAUAUUGAACCGCAUGGUUCAAUAGUGAAAGACGGUUUUGCUGUCACUUAUAGAUGGAUCCGCGCCGCAUUAGCUAGUUGGUAAGGUAACGGCUUACCAAGGCAACGAUGCGUAGCCGACCUGAGAGGGUGAUCGGCCACACUGGAACUGAGACACGGUCCAGACUCCUACGGGAGGCAGCAGUAGGGAAUCUUCCGCAAUGGGCGAAAGCCUGACGGAGCAACGCCGCGUGAGUGAUGAAGGUCUUCGGAUCGUAAAACUCUGUUAUUAGGGAAGAACAAAUGUGUAAGUAACUAUGCACGUCUUGACGGUACCUAAUCAGAAAGCCACGGCUAACUACGUG
rnacentral:rRNA from 1 species